rnacentral:lncRNA from 1 species
GUUGACCUUGGUGAAACUUUUCUCCUGUGACCUUGCUAAAGUCCAUUCGGGUUUUAUUUGCAACAGUUGCAUAUCGUAACUAAAGAUUAAGAUAAGUCUCUAUGGAGCUGAAAUCUUCGAUUUGAUGAAAAAGUCAAAGCGUUUGAUUUUAUCAAAUUUGAAGACGAAUUGUGUGUUUACAAGAAGAUAGUGGGAGCAUUUUUCGUAUUCCUAAAACGACAUCGCUAUAUUUCAAUCGUUGAAAUAAUGGUUGUUAAAAGAUUUAUUCAUAAAUGAUAUGGG